rnacentral:rRNA from 1 species
GGCAGGAUGCUGUCUGGUAUAACCUUUUUACUUGCAAACUGUGGAAUGGCUCAUUAUAACAGUUAUUAUUUACUAUCCGGUCAGUUAUUCCUUGGAUACCCAUGGUAAUUCUAGAGCUAAUACAUGCUUACAGACCCCACUUCACGGAAGGGUUGCGCUUAUUAGAUACCGAACCAACCCCGCAAGGGAUUUAGUUGAUUCAUAGUGUUCUGGCGAAUCGACUUUUAGUCGAUGAGGCUAUCAAGUUUCUGACCUAUCAGCUUCCGACGGUAGGGUAUUGGCCUACCGUGGCUUUGACGGGUAACGGAGAAUUAGGGUUCGAUUCCGGAGAGGGAGCCUGAGAAACGGCUACCACAUCUAAGGAAGGCAGCAGGCGCGUAAAUUACCCAAUCCUGACACAGGGAGGUAGUGACAAGAAAUAUCAAUAUAAGACUUUUGUGUCUUGUAAUUGGGAUGAGCGGAACUUAAAUCGCUUCUCGAGUAUCAAUUGGAGGGCAGAGUCUGGUA